GGACGGUUAGCUCAGCUGGCUAGAGCGUGGCAUUGACAUUGCCAAGGUCGGGGGUUCGAGCCCCUCACCGUCCA
rnacentral:tRNA from 1 species